AAACAGUGUCGCCUGUUCUUCUCACUUGUGAAAGGCAGCAGUGCAGAGAUGCACGACAACUGGAUCGCUUGUAUUGUUCUGCUCCUGUCCUUUUCUCCAAUAUUAUCCUGCUUUCACUCCAAAGAUGGGGAAAAAAACAGCUUAUAUAUCAAAGAUAAGAUUCUGAUAAUACAGACAGUGUUGUCAAAUGUUGACAAUGCAUCCAUCAACUGCCCAGGUAUGGAAGUUAAUAAAGAGAAUGUUCAUAUCACGCUACACAAGGAGACAGAGCUGCAUUUUACAGAUUUCCAAAAUAAUCAAGUAACAAACACCUCACAGGAAACGCAAAGGUAUAGAGUCGAUGUUAAGAAUGACACUGUAGAUUAUGUGAUAGACAUGCCUCAAGUCAGUGACACAGGCUUGUACAACUGCACAAUUGCACACGGACAUGUCACCAGAACAACCCAGACUUUUCUUCUUGUGAAAGUUAUUGUUCUCUAGAUCCAGAAUCUCAGUGCAAUCUCCCUGAGGGACAGUCAACGUCUUGGCUACUGCUUGCUGCAGGUUGUGGGUUCCUGGCUUUGUAUAACUUGAUCACCACAAUUGUCAUCUGCUCCUUUGUUUGGAAGCUUCAGCAUCAGGACGCAUACCAGCAUGAUUACUUCAACACAAGGCCAGGAGAGUUCUCAAGAGGCAAAUAAGUUCAGCAUCAGCUCCUGUUGCCAUCUAUCCACUGGCCAUACAAGUUCACUUGUAACUAACAAAGUGACUAUGUCCGGUCACCUUAAUUAAAAUAUUGGCCUGAUCAUCUAAGUAUAAUGUUGAAUAUGCGUGUAAUGUGUAAUUUAUUAAAAUACUUUGUGAAUAUGAUCUUAUUAGGAGGACUGUUCAAUAAAACAAAGUGUGUGAAUUUG